GUAGCGUAGCAACGUGAUCGUGAUUUUUCGUUUAAAUUGCAGUAACACGAGUUUGUAUCAUCACAUUACGUUCUGUGGACUCUUGUAUAUUUGUUCCUGCAAAGAAAUACAAUUUCCGUUGCUCAGUUUACUUAAAGGACACAUGAGGAUGGAUCAUACAGGAAGAGAAGAAUCCAGUUUGAGAUUGAAAUUGAAAU